rnacentral:lncRNA from 1 species
AAAUUUAACAACCUUUACAAAAACGAUAAACAAUACUGAAUAACAUAAGAAAAUGAAUAGGUGUCGCCUGGCACAUACACUUCAACUCAAAACAAUAUAACAACCUCCAAGACCCGGAAACCCACGGGCAACACAGGCUAAGGUAAAAACAUAACAUACGUCUCUAUAUCCAGAAGUGUCUACAAACACUGAGUACAUGAAUGAAACUGCUAACUAAAAGGUAGAAUAGAAGGAGACUCUUCGGAUCUGCGGACGUGGCAGAUGCAUACCUCAAGUCUCCAAGUGAAGCUACGAACUCACUGAUAGCGCUUGAUCAGAAGUACCUGGAUCCGCACAACAAAAUUAUGCAGAAGAGUAGCAUGAGUACACCACAGCGGUAUUCAUUAAGUGCCAAGCCUAACCUCGGUGGAGUAGUGACGAGGAAGGUCGAGGCCCUAAUGAGAUGAACAUAAGAAUAAAUAUAAGAUAAAAUGACAGUAGGAAAUGCGGUAAAUCUCUAGUAUCUAGCAAGACAAUAAAUAAAACAGAAUAGGCUACAAAUGCAAUAUACGAAUAUAAGAACAAUCACUCAAAAAUCAUGAUACCGCAUGGAGCUCCAGGAAUUUAACCAACAGUCCAUUCUCACCAAUAUCUGAGGAUCUUCCGGGAAUCGAAUCUGUAGUCCAUCAUACCAACAUCAGAGAAUCUCCCGGGAAUUGAACCCGUAGUCAGUCUCAUCAAUAACAGAGGAUCGACCGGGAAUUGAACUCGUAGUCCAUCAUAUCAAUAAUAGAGGAUCUACUGGAAAUUGAACCCAUAGUCCACCAUAUCAAUAACAUGGGAUCUACCAGGGAUCGAACCCGUAGUCCGUCACAUCAAUAACAGGGGAUCUACUGGGAAUCAAACCCGUAGUACAUCAUAUCAAUAACAGGGGGAUCUUCCAGGAAUUAAACACGUAGUCUCAAUUGUAAACACUUCACAACAAUUCAAUAUUUAACAUAAAGAAGCCAAAUAUAGCAACAGGUAAGGAUCUAGAGCCUAGCAUGCUCACAAAGAGGACAGAUAUUGCAAUUCAGUCAAUUAGAGCAAAUAAAUUACAAACAUGCUUUUCCUAGGCUAAAACAAGUGAAGUUGCAUUUUUACAUGUUAAAUAUAUGAAGAAACACAGUCUAAAUAAACCAAGUAAGGUGAAUUUCCAACAAACAGCACAAGUAUGCGCCCGUCACCUCGCGCACUAGGCAUUUUAAACAACAGCAAAGAUAUCCUAAGGAGAGAGGUCCCCCACACAAACUUACACAAGCCACUUACCUCGAACCGGUACAAAACAGCUAAAAAACAAUGCCCCUGCCACGAGUAUCCGACUCCGAGUGGCCCAAAUAUAUUCAAACCAAUUGCAUAUGAUAAAUAACAUCGCAAGUAACUAAUUAUAUUGUUAAAAUUCAGCUAAGGCGCGAAAAUAGGUGAAAUGACCAAAAUGCCCUUCAGGUCAACGUCUCGGAAUCGAAUAAUUUUCACAUUUUUAGAUACCUCGUACUCUCACGAGUUUAACCAUAUAGAAAUAUCCCAAAUCAGAGGUCAAAUGCCCCUUCAAAUCAUCAAAGUUAGGUCUAAGAACUUUACUCCAAUUUUCAUUCAAAAUCAGAAAUUAAAGCAUGAAUUUGAGUAGAUUAGUGGGUAAGAAUCAUAAGGGAGUAAGGAAUCAUAAGGUAUAGGUAUGGUGACGAUUACCUAUACGCCCGAGUCUAUCAUGACCGUGAGUCCUAGUUGCUUUUAAAUUCGAAAGAUGUGAAACAAUUGAGUUAAUUACUUGCUAAAUAAAUUAUGAAGUGAUAGUUGAGGAGCAAAUGAGUUAAAGAAAGAAGUGUGGUAUUUUUCCCUUGCCGGGACUUGUUGAUGAUCCGUUUUCCCUUGUUGGGACUUAUUGUUGAUUAUUCUCCCUUACCGGGAUGUUUAAUCUUGUUGAAUAUUCCAUUCCCCGAUUGGUUGUUACCUUUGAUUGGGUGAGGAAGAGAGAUUAUGCACGAAGGGUCUUUUCAUGCCCGGUUUUGAUGAUUAAGCACGUAGGGUCUUACCGUGCCAUAUUUUGAUUAUUGGAGCAUGAAGGGUCUUUUUGUGCCUUGAUGUGAGAGUUAUGUGAGGAAAAUCACGAAGGGUGAUGUCGUGCAUUUAUAUUUGACAAUUUGGUGAGGAAAAGCGCGAAGGGUGAUGCCAUGCAUUUAUAUUUAACAGUUUGGUGAGGAUUGAGAGUAAAAGCACAAAGGUUGAUGCCGUUCAGUUGUUGAUUUGCUUGGUCUCUUUCAUUGAUGUUAACUAUUUGAUUUCCAUCUCUCUGUCAGUGGUUUCAUAUCAAAAUUGUUACACCCCACAUCUUGCCCCCUCCCUAUUACCUGUUUAAAUAUUUGGUAUAGUUUUUCGUUGUUGCACAUACAUCGGAACAGGUUAAUUGUGGUGGGACCGAUCUAGCCUCGUCACUGCCUCGCUGGGGUUAGGCCAGACACUUAUCAGCACAUGGGAUCGAUUGUGCUGAUACUACACUUCUGUGCCUUUUGUGCACAGGUCAGGAGACAGCUUACGGACCGUAACAGUAGCUUGGGAGUGUGCCUUCAGUCCAGAAACUCCUAGGUAGUUCGCUGGCGUUCGCGGGCCCUGAGUCUCUUCUAUUUCAUUUCUGUUUGUUUUCAUUGUAUCAAAACAGACUCCUUAUGUAUUUUCUUUCAAACUUUUUUUUGUAGUAUUUUAUAGCAGUCCGUGAGUACUGUGACACUAGACUGCCCCAUAUUGGUUAAGCAAUGAGUUGUUAUCUCCUCAUAUGCUUUUGGCCUUUUGGGCAAUCUUUAUCCCCUGAGCUAGCUCAAGGUUUGUUAUUUUCAUGUUAAAAAUAGGAAAAAUAUUCUAGGCACCGGCCAACAUGUGCUGCCCGUCUGACUAUGUUUUCAUCUUCUCUUUUCCUGUCGGUGUCCACUGUCUCUCCUCUCUCAGAAAACUGGUGCCUCUACUCUCCAAAAGAUUGUGUAGGCAUCGCUUCUCUCACCAAUGACCAUUCAUCCAUCGCUCCUCUUUGACAUGUUCCGCCGUUCCCCUCUCUAAGUUCGUUCAAGCACCGUUUAUCUCUCGGACAAACAUUCUGGAGACUUUAUUCUAUUCCACAACUAUCGGUGCUUCUUUCUAUGCAACCAUUGCGCUCCUCAAGAUCUUAUGUUUCUUGUCAUUGUUAUACCAACUCAUGGUAUACUGAUAAUGUACCGGAGAUUGGUAACACCAUAUAUCUUUUUGAUGAUUGAGAAUAGACUCAUUUUCGUGUAUAGUGUAAAAAUCACUUUCGUUCGUUGUGUUAUUACCAAUUGACUUCUCGGAGGAAAGAAUUCAAACAUCGAUCUUCUUUCUGGUGGUUAUGUGCUAUUAUGGCAAGAUUUCAACUUCAAUUUUCUGUGUCCGCAAUAUGCAACUCAAAUUGGGUUCUCCACUUUGAGUUUGAGGGGGCUAGUUAGAAGAUCAAAAGUUUGUGUGUAGAUUCAUACGCAUCUAAGAUUAAUUAUUCUUGAACAAGGAAAAUCUUAUAAAAUGCUACAUGAUGCCGUAAGAUAUUAUGUAUUUCAUUAUAUAGUAUUGAUUUACCUUUCUAGUGCAGAGAUCGAAUAGCUACCGCCUAAGAUUCCUAUAUGAGGAGCACUUGUUGUACAUCGUUAGUAAAUUAAAUCAAUGACAAGUUUUUUCUAUUUUCACAAGGAAAAUCAAUCGACCAUCUUUCAUUUUGGUCGAUAAGAUGGUUUUUUCUUUGUUGUAAUUUCCAUUUCCUUUCUAUUUAAAUAUAGAAAAGUGAAUAUGUCUCACACAGUCUGUCUGGCUUGUCUCAGUACUGAACUUUUAAAUGCUAAAGACAUGUAUUUUGACCCCCUACUCAUCUCGGAUUCCAACUUAAUUUUUUUAAUUGUACCUCCGUUGUUCCAUCUCUAAGAAAGGUAGAGCUCCUCAACCUCUUUUUUCUGACUGAAGGUUUCACUUAAUGUAGUAUUUGGUGGAUGUCAAUCACUUGUUGUGCUUGAGAGCCACGAUAGUCCUUAAAAUCCUAAUUGAUGCAUUAUGUGCAGGAAGAGUUUACGAGAUUCAUUUUCUAAUGAUAAAAGAAAUUGUUCAUGGUUGGCCAAUGAUCGGUAGCUUUUGCCCAAAUGUUCAUACAUAUUCACUCCUCACUUGAAUCUAGGUUUUUCAAAUGUUUCCUGAGAGGGCCUUAGUGUAAAACAGUCACAUUUUAGAUCAUAUGGGACGAGGAGGGAUAAAUCUUGGUGUUAGUUUUAUUGUAUACAUAGGAGUAAAUAAUUCUAAUAAUCCUAAUCCCGUAUGUUUUAGGAGUAAGACAUAUAUUGUAUAUACAGGGCUCAUUGUAUCAUUGUUUAAUUAAUAAAUCAAUAAUGUAUUUUUUCCCGUGCUUUCUCACAUGGUAUCAGAGCUUUGGUGAAAUAAUUAUCGUUUUGCGUCAUUCCAACGACAUCCGGGAAGAAAUAACUCAGUCACCGUGCAAUUUUUCGGUGACCUAAGUGACUAAUUGCGUCAAAGUCACUAAUUAUCAGUGUUGUGCAAAAACCAACACCACCACAAGGUUUCCAAAAGAUAUCCGACCAAACCCCAGCAAACCCUACCGGAAAACUGCCCUUCACGCGCCCUCACGCGCCAGAAUUAUCAAGGCAUAUCCGACUCACGCGCGCCCACGCGCCGGUGCGUGAGCAAUGUUCCGGUGAGAUUUUGACGAAGGUCCUUCAGGGCAGUUGGAUCGCCCUCAAAUUCUUAGCCUACCCAUAAUUUUACUUUUCAAUUCCGACCACUUUGAAUUUUUUCCGGUAGCUAUAGUAAUUUUCCGGCUGCUACAGUGAUCCCCAGAAAAUUUCUAUUUUUUCCGGCACGAUAUUAUAAUGGAAUUCGUAUCGGAAGUUUUUAACUCACAAUCUGUUGGAUCUAAUGCAUUGAAUCCCAUCCAAAUGGUUUCUUUACCGGAUUAUAUCGAGUUCCUUCAGUACAAAGCAUAUACACAGACAUCAUCAGGAUUAGCCUCCGUUGUUCCAACAAAUAAUAGCAUGGCUGGUGUAUCCCAAUCUUCACCUUUUGAAUCUUGGGUCAUUGAUUUAGGUGCAUCUGAUCAUAUUUCUUGUAACAAAUCUCUUUUCACUAGUAUCUCAUAUUCUCAAUCUCUUCCAACACUCACAAUGGCCAAUAGGUCUCAAGCCAUGGCAACUGCAAUAGGUCAAACAAGUUCACUUCCUUCCUUACCUUUAGACUCAGUUCUUUAUGUUCCUGGUAGACCUUUUAAUCUCAUAGUCGUUAGUCGCUUAGCCAAAUCAUUGCAAGUCCACUUCAUUUCUUAUCUUUAGACUUAGCUCUUUAUGUUCCUGGUAGUCUUUUUAAUCUCAUAGUUGUUAUUCGCUUAGCCAAAUCACUUAAAUCUGCUAUUUUAUUUCUUGAUGACAUUGUUUUUAUACAAGAACGCAGUACUGGCCGGAUCAUUGGUACCGGACGUGAAUCAGAUGGACUUUAUUACCUUAUCCUUGCAAAAUCACAUGGACUCGCAUCUUGUAUUUCUCUAAUAACUUCUCCCGUUACUGAUUCACCAGAUUUAUUACAUAAACGGUUAGGAUAUCCCAAUUUGUCAAAACUUCAGGAAAUGGUAAGCAUACCCGCUCCAAUUUUCCGCGGCGUCUUGACAAUCGAGCAGAGUCACCUUUUACUUUAGUCCAUUCAGAUGUUUGGGGUCCUAGUCGGGUUAGUUCUACCUUGGGAUUACACUACUUUGUCAGUUUCAUUGAUGAUUAUUCAAGGUGCACUUGGAUACUUUUGAUGAAAAAUCGAUAUGAGUUGUUUUCUAUUUUCCAGACCUUCCAUGCUGAAAUUCAAAAUAAAUUUGGGGUUUCUAUUUGCACAUUUCGUAGUGAUAAUGCCCUAGAGUAUUUGUCUUCCCCAUUUCAGCAGUUUAUGACCUCCCAUGGAAUUAUUCAUCAAACAUCUUGUCCGUACACAUCCCAACAAAAUGGGGUAGUUGAAAGAGAGAAUAGAAACCUUAUUGAAACUGCUCGUACUCUACUCAUACAAUCUCAUAUUCUGCUGCGCUUUUUUGGGGAUGCAGUUCUUAUAUCUUGUUAUCUUAUUAAUCGUAUGCCAUCUUCAGCUAUCCAAAAUCAAGUUCCAUUUUGUGUCCUAUUUCCCCACUUACCUUUGUUCUCUCUUCCACCCUGUGUCUUUAGGAGUACAUCCUUUGUUCAUGACCUUACUCCAGGAAAAGAUAAGUUAGCUCCCUGUGCUCUUAAGUGCUUUUUCUGGGUUACUCGAGAAGGCAAAAGGGAUAUCGAUGUUAUUCUCCUGACCUUCAGCGAUUUCUUAUGCUUGCUGAUGUUACCUUCUUUGAAACCUAAUCAUACUUCACAGGUCGAGUUAAUAACUUAGAUAUUUCUGAGGUGCUACCAAUUCCUUCUUUUGAAGAUUCAGUCCCUAUCUCUCAUUCAUCUUCCUACAUAGCUCCACCGCCUACGGUUCCAGUUACAACUCCACCAUCUAUAGCUCUAGUGUCACCUCCGAGUCUAAUGCAACCACCUAGUCCAGUUCCACAAUUAUAGCUCCAGUGCCUCCACCUAGUCCAGUUCAACCUUCUACGGCUCCACCACUCCUGACUUAUUAUCGUCGUCUGCCCCUAGCAUCAUGCCCAGCUGAUUCACGUCCUGCACCUGACCCUGCUAAUGCACGGUGACUUUCCAACUCAGCGAAUGCUUUCUGUAGUUGUUGUAUCUUGGAUGUUGUAGAGUCCACCAAUGUUGCAACUGACUCUGUAUCUUCCAUGGCGAAACUCCCUGAUAAUCUAUUUGAAUUUUCAGAAAAUCUCUUUAGAUAACUGAUAAAACAACAAAGGCACCUACAUUUGUCAACUGAAACUGCUAUACAAGUUUUUAUUUUGUAAAUUUUUAGUGUUGCAUACUAAUUUGCAGAGAUAUUCACCACCAACAACAAGCCCAGAGUAAUCCCUAUAGUAGUUUCAGUUGACAAAUGUAGGCGCAUUUGUUGCAUAAUAAUUUGUACACAGAUAACAGAUUAUUGAAAGAUAUCAGACAUAUUACACAGCUGCUAGUACGAUGACAACCUAAUUAAGGAAAGAAUCUCAAUACCCAACUCUUCUUCUAAUAAGCCAGAUGAGUCAUUAAUCCUUUCUUUUAUUUAAUAUGUCAAAGCUAGUCAUAGAUGCACCUAAACUAAACCCCAUGUUAUCAAGGCUACUAGAGACUUUUCCAGUAUAAGUACCUACUACUCUUUCUUAAAAGCAUCGCUGAGUGUUAUCAAGGCUACCAAAGACUUUUCCAGUAUAAAUACCUACUACUCUUUCUUUAAAGCAUAGCUGAGAACCCAAAUUUUGAUCAUAGUUUCAGGUUCUUAACCCAUAGCAGAAGAGAGAGAGAGCAAGCGCGAGAACAAAGAAUUGUUCUUUUUGAAAUAGAAGUCAGUUUAGGCACCAAAGGGUUUGGCCUAAUGGUCAAUGAAGUGGGUGAGAACCAUGCGGUAUCAGGUUUAAAUCCCAGUGGAAGCAAAAAACAUUAGGUGAUUUCUUCGAGAUCGAUCGAUCGAGAGGGGAGGGGGGGACUGGGAACAAGUAACUUUUCUUUUUGAAAUAGAAGGCAGUUUAGGCACCCGAGGGUGUGGCCUAAUGGUCAAUGAAGUGAGUGAGAACCAUGAGGUCUCAAGUUUAGCAAAAACUAGGUGACUUCUUCCCACUAUCCAAGCCUUGAUAGAUAGAGAUACCCGGUACCUAUAGCUCGUAGAAGGUGGCAUGUAUCCCAGAAAAUUAGUUAAGAUGCACGCAAGCUUGGCUCGAACACCAUGGUUAUCCAAAAAAAAAAAUGAAGGCGGUUUAGUGUCAAGACUAUGUAACCCAGGGCCUAGUCAUCUUUAGUUUGUUUAUCAUGAUGCAUAACAUCCCUGUGUUAAGGUCAAAACCAGGUCUAGCCCAUAGCUGCCUUGUUGAUAUUAGCGAGCUGCACAGACUUUUGUAUCUUAUAUGAUCACGUCAAAGUUAUGAUAAAAUACUAAUUUUACUUAGCUCACUGUAAUUGAUUUUGAAAAGUGGCUAGAUUACUGAAAGGCAUGUAUGCACUGGAAAAAGCAAAAACUUUGUAAAAUCCUUGCAAAUCUUUCCAUCUUUUCCCUAUCCAUUUUGGAAUGACAAACAUCAUAAAGAUCAUUUCAGUGUUCUUAUUCCUUUUUUCUUGCACUAUAUUCCCCUAAACAAAAUUACAAAAAUUAAGCAAAACUUCUUCUGAGUACAAGGUAAAUGUACCACAACAGGUUACACGUGGAAACAACAAGUAUCUCCAAAUUCACGCUCAACAGAUUAUAGUAAAAGAAUAGAAGGUAUUGCAAAACUAUCAAGUUACUAGAAGAGCUAAAAAGAAAGACACAAAUCAAAACUAACACCAAUCGUCAAAUAAAGAAAUUUCCGUAUACUCAAUUAAUCACGAAGUAUAAUUACACCUGGACUUAAGUAAAAGCCAAUACUGAUAGUCGCGAUCAACAAAUAUACUGACAAAAAUAAAUGAUAAAAAGAAAACAAUCUAAAAAGGCUCAUUUCAACAACAAACGAAGCUAUAACGAGCAUUCAAGAUUAAAACUACAUCACUCUACUCGCUAAUUUUUGACGAUUAAGACGAUCUGAAGGUACUGAAUGAUAGUGAUGAAGCAAUAAGGCAAAUGAAAAGAGAAUAUGGGAGUUGUACUUACACGAUCGACAGCGAAAGUUGACAGAGAAGAAGAUAUGUCGGCGGUAAAGUUCGCCGGAGAAUUCAAACCAUUUAAGUUUGAAUUCCUAUUGACAGAGAAAGAGGAAAGUGAAAAGUGGAAGGAAGAGUAGUAUUUAUUAGAGCUACUGUUACCCGACAGAGACCACUCACUCACGCAGAC